UGCGCACGCGCAGCCUCGGCGCAAGCACGUUGCGGCGUCCCGAAGGCGUUGCCAGGAAACCUUCCGCCUAGAGCUGCGGGGGGACCGGCGGACAUGGCCGCGGCGCGGCUGGCCGCAGCUUUGCUGCUACUCGCGGCCCAGGUGGCCUGUGAGUUCGGCGUGCUUCGAGUGGUGUCCCAAACCAGUAGGACUCGGAGCAGGGACUACUGCAUCCUCUACAACCCACAGUGGGCCCACUUGCCACAUGACCUCAGCAAAGUGUCUCUCCUGAAGCUUCGAGACUUGAGCACCACCCAGCUCUGUUCCUACCUUGACGUCCCUGCAGAAGACUUCACCAACCAAAUCGCACUGGUGGCCCGGGGCAACUGUACCUUCUAUGAGAAAGUGCGGCUGGCCCAGGGCAGUGGGGCUCACGGGCUGCUGAUAGUCAGCAAGGAGAAGCUGGUCCCUCCAGGAGGCAACAAGACACAGUAUGAGGAGAUAAGCAUCCCUGUGGCCCUGCUGAGCCACAGAGACCUUCAAGACAUCUUCAGGCGCUUUGGCCGUGAGGUAAUGGUGGCACUGUAUGCUCCGAGCGAGCCAGUGAUGGACUACAACAUGGUCAUCAUCUUUGUCAUGGCCGUGGGCACCGUCGCCAUCGGUGGCUACUGGGCUGGCAGCCAUGAUGUGAAGAAAAGGUACAUGAAGCAUAAGCGAGACGAUGGUCCUGAGAAACAGGAGGAUGAGGCGGUGGACGUGACGCCAGUCAUGAUCUGCGUGUUUGUUGUAAUGUGCUGCUUCAUGCUUGUGCUUCUCUACUACUUCUAUGACCGCCUGGUCUACGUGAUCAUUGGAAUCUUCUGCCUGGCCUCCUCCACCGGUCUCUACAGCUGUCUGGCACCCUUUGUGCGGAAGCUGCCCUUCUGCACGUGCAGGGUCCCCGACAACAACCUGCCGUACUUCCACAAGCGCCCACAGGCCCGCAUGCUGCUGCUGGCACUCUUCUGUGUCACUGUCUCCGUGGUGUGGGGUAUCUUCCGAAAUGAGGACCAGUGGGCAUGGGUCCUGCAAGACACCCUGGGCAUUGCCUUCUGCCUGUACAUGCUGAAGACCAUCCGCCUGCCUACCUUCAAGGCCUGCACGCUGCUGCUGCUGGUGCUCUUCAUCUACGACAUCUUCUUUGUCUUCAUCACCCCCUUCCUGACCAAGAGUGGCAACAGCAUCAUGGUGGAGGUGGCCACCGGGCCCUCGAACUCAUCCACCCAUGAGAAGCUGCCCAUGGUGCUGAAGGUGCCCAGGCUGAACACCUCGCCACUCUCCCUGUGUGACCGGCCCUUCUCCCUCCUGGGCUUUGGAGACAUCUUGGUGCCAGGUGUGGGCUGAGCGCACGGGGCGGGUGAGCAGGGCUGCUGGUGGCCUACUGUCACAGGUUUGAUAUCCAGGUGCAGUCCUCCAGAAUUUACUUUGUGGCCUGUACCAUUGCCUAUGGCCUGGGCCUCCUGGUGACCUUCGUGGCUCUUGUCCUCAUGCAGCGUGGCCAGCCUGCACUACUCUACCUGGUCCCUUGCACACUGCUGACCAGCUGCACCGUGGCUCUGUGGCGCCGGGAGCUGGGUGCCUUCUGGACGGGCAGCGGUUUUGCGGUGAAUACCAGUUUGCUAUGAGUGCGGCGAUAGCCCCCUAAGGCCACCAGGUCAAGUUGAGUCCAGCCUCCUUGUGCUCCCACUGAGCCCCUGGCCUGGGUCCCUCGCUUCUGGAAGGUCAUGCUUGAGCUUUCUGGUUCCCUGUGGGGAACUCUCUGGUGUGACCUAAGGCUUUGAACACUCCUGCCGCAUUGCUGAGCCCCCACCCCCACCGCCCUGUAGCAGCUGAAGAGGAUGGAGGGUACAUUGAAGGGCUGUGAGGGGAUGGGGAGUGCCCACCACAGACAGUGGGUGCCACGUGGCUCCCCAAGAUGAGCCUUGCUUCUUGGAAGGAUGCACCUCAGACCCCGUGGGCCGCAACCCAGGGACCUGUGCCUCCGAAGGCUGUGGGUUCCUCCCUCUCCGAGCAGCCUCCAAGUGAAGAGCUAGCCAAGAGCCCCCUGUCCACUGAGGAGGCCGGAGCCGCAGACCCUGCCAAGGAUCCUGACAACCCUGUGGCCAGUCCCCUCAGCCCCUCAAAUGGGGAUGAGGCUCAGCCUAUCCCUGUGGUGAAGCCAGAGACUUCGGCCUAGGAAGAAGAGGGGUGAGAGCUGGGCCCUCGCCGCCUUCCACGCCACACAGAUGCUGACCACCUGGGACCUGCAGGGGACAGGGACAGCUGCCACCCACCAGGGUGACAGACCUGCUCUGUGUCCCCCCUAACAUGGUGCUCAGGCCUCUGAGGCCUCAAGUAGAUUCUCCCAGCUGCACCCCGCGCCCAGCUCUGCUUUGCACCAGGCCGUGAGCUUCAUCUGCUGCCCACUCCAUGCAAGGCCGCUGCCCACAGUGCUCGGCCGAUGCUCACCCUGCAGAUGCUCCUACGGCCGCGCCUCCCUCCACAGGGCUGGGCUCUGGGGCCAGAGCAACCCCAACAAGCAGGUUCCUAUGUUGGGAGCAGCCUCGAGGGGCCUGUCUGUGGGCACUCUGCCCGCGGGGCCCAAACCCCUUCAGGAGAGUCCAUGCCAAGAUGGAGUUGAGAGCGUGGGCCACUGCUCUAAGCCAGUAAAUGGCUCCAGCUCCAGGUCCUGCGCUGUGCAGCCUGGUGGGAGCUGGCCACGUGUGGAUGGGUCCAUGUCCCCAGCAAGUCCAUCAGCUCAGACAUGCAAGUCUUCCAGGACACUGCCCUCUGCCCCAGCAGUGGCUUCUGGACUGGCAUCUGUCCUCUACCUCACCAACCAGGCUCUGGACUCCAUGACAGAUCUGCCUGCAGGGAGCCCAGCACACAUGCUGCAUGUCACCGAGGCAGAGGCCACAGUCCCCACACUCUGGGAUAGAACUCGGGAGCCACGGCCACCCACACUUGCAUGGGAAAGGGUGUCUGCUGCAGGAUGACAAGCAGGGACAGCUGGGUGGUCCUCCUAGAGCUCUGGGGAUGGGGGCAGGGGACAUCCCCUAGGCACCCUGUCUAACCAGAAUGGAUAGUUAGAGGAGCGCUGGGGCCUAGCCACCUGCUUCUGCCAUUGGAUUUGACAAGCCAUUUUAUAUUGGGUGUCCAAGCAGUCCUUUCACCUCUUGGGUAGUCGGAGGUGCUCCGCGAGGUCCCGCUCGAGGGCCCUGGCUUUAGGUUGUCAGGGGAUUAAACAGCUUUUCAUACUCACA